CAGCUGUUGCACUGAGAGGGGGGCAGCUGCGGAGUUCCAUAACCAUAGCAACCGCAUCAGCAACGGCGGCGGCGGGCGAGGGCAGCAUCCGCUCGCUCCUCCUCCAGGCAGCCUCGCCGCGGGGACCCAACACCAGCUCGCAGGUGCCGCGGACUCCCCAGUCAGCCCGCCGCCGCCGCCGCAAGUGUUGGCGGCCAGAGAAGGCUAAAGGGGAGAGAGAGGGACCCAGGAGCGCGGCCCCCGGGGGAGAGAGAGGGGAGCCCUGCAGUGGAGACAGGGCUUCCAUACCACAGCUUCACAAUAAAAGUUUAUAUAAUUCUGCCAUUAGGAUUUUAUUGUACAACCUGAUGACAACAGCCUACAGAAACAGAGUGAUCCCAUCAUGUCAAGGAAUACAACACAUUCCUGUCAUUAAGAGAAGCUGCUGACUUGAAAUGGGAGUUCAGUAAUGGCAGUGAGAGGAGAUGAAGUAACACCAUUGGAGAAGGUCAGAGCACAGAGCAAGGCCUUAAAAACAAGCCACAGCAUUUGGACUUUAUUCUCCUCAUUUAUGCCAUCCUGUUUAUCAGUAUUGAUCUGCAGCACUCCAAGGUCCAAGGGACAAAGGCAAGGAAAUCUCCAACCUCUCAGAAUAUGAGAAGAUACUAUAGUAAAUAUGUCACCAAAUUUUAUUCUACAACAGCUCUAUGUGGCAGGUUCUCAUCUCCAUUGUACAGAACAAGAAAUUAAGACUCAGAAAUCUUAAAGGAUUUGCUGAAGGUUGCAUGGCCCUUACAGAAUGUCACCAGCUCAUUUAACUUCAAGACCUCUUCCUGCUAUGCUCACACUGUUUGGAAAGUCACAUUCUAAUCAGACUUGAUGGCUAAAUCAGUCAGAAUCAAAUAUGCCCACCUAUGUUGACAUGCUGUGUAAAGAUUUUCUGUUCAUCAUGUGAUUGUCACCCUCUCAUAUCACAGUGAUGCUAUGCAUUGCAUUAAAAAAAAUGCUCAGGGGUAUCUUCCAGAUAAAUGGAAGAAGUGACCAUAUAAGUGUGAUUUUUUUCAGCAAUUUAUAUCCAUUGAUCUUGCUGAGUUCUUCCCAGAGAACAUCUCUUGCAGAUCCAGGUUCUCUCAUCGUUUUAGCAUUUGCUUAGCCCCUUGUUUGCCCUUCCCAAUGCCCAGUUAUCACAUGUAAGAUAAGCGUUAAAUUGCAUAUUCCCUGUAUUUCACAGUGAAUAAAAGUGAAGGAUCUGGUCUCCACCUCUCCACCUCUUUUACGACACUGUUAUUAUAACAUGAGACCCAAUGGAGCAUGUAGGCUGUCACAGAUAGUAUAGUCUGAAGGUCAGGAAAGGCAGGAUGGUAGAAAGCUGAAAUAGCCCUGAUCAAAAAGACAAAGAGAACAAGGUGGUUUUGAAAUAUCUGCUAAAUCCAGAUCCCCAGUCUUGAAUCAUGAUUGGAAUUGCUUACUUCAGUUCUAUUGAUAAAUCAGAUUUGAGGUCUCCCCUCCUUUGCUUAAGUCACCCCUUAAACAAAGGAG
rnacentral:lncRNA from 1 species